rnacentral:rRNA from 1 species
AUUGAACGCUGGCGGCAGGCCUAACACAUGCAAGUCGAGCGGAUGAAGGGAGCUUGCUCCUGGAUUCAGCGGCGGACGGGUGAGUAAUGCCUAGGAAUCUGCCUGGUAGUGGGGGAUAACGUCCGGAAACGGGCGCUAAUACCGCAUACGUCCUGAGGGAGAAAGUGGGGGAUCUCCGGACCUCACGCUAUCAGAUGAGCCUAGGUCGGAUUAGCUAGUUGGUGUGGUAAAGGCCUACCAAGGCGACGAUCCGUAACUGGUCUGAGAGGAUGAUCAGUCACACUGGAACUGAGACACGGUCCAGACUCCUACGGGAGGCAGCAGUGGGGAAUAUUGGACAAUGGGCGAAAGCCUGAUCCAGCCACGCCGCGUGUGUGAAGAAGGUCUUCGGAUUGUAAAGCACUUUAAGUUGGGAGGAAGGGCAGUAAGUUAAUACCUUGCUGUUUUGACGUUACCAACAGAAUAAGCACCGGCUAACUUCGUG